UAUGGUGUGCUAGCUACUUCCAUUUGAGGCUGGUGCAAUUGAUUUUGAUGAUCCAAGAACAAAUUGUCAGCACAGCUUUUACCAACUAAUAAUUCAUCAGAUGGAGUGGUGAGUAACCACGAAACUCCAGUUUCUUGCAGACCCCUGAACAAUUGCAGAAUGAGAAUGUUUCCCGGCAUCUUAUUCCUCACAAGGUAAUGUCCUUUCAGUUUGUGCGCUGAAGUCUUCUUUCAACAACUAAGCUCUGUGCCUUAAUGACUGAAUUUUCUUUCACAGACCUUCUCUAGCAACCAGCCAUCUCUGAGCCUUCUGCUUCCAUCGCUGGAUGCUUAAUAUUUAACAAGUUAGAGAUUUUUUACUCCUUUUUCAUCCUUUAUCGAACCCCCAUGUUGUUCAUGGGGAUAAAUUGUUAGAAGUGUUCAUGGAGUUUGAAUUAUUCCAUGAUGAUCAGAAACUACUAGAAUCUGUCAAGGAUGUGUGAAGAGCAAUCUUUGAAUCAAACAGUGGAGGAAAUUGGCCUUUUGACUUGGGAUCGGACUUUAGAGUUUGUUCUGAAUCAACUUCAUGAAACCAUUUCUCAGCUUCCUGGGAGCUAUGGAACAACAAUAUUGAUGAGUUCCAGAAAGAAAACAUCUGAUGCAACACAAGGAGCAGAUUGAGGAUUUUGGAUGGACGCUCUCUGAGCCCUGGCAAGGUGCUGCCUUUGCUACCCAAUUCCAAUUCUCUAAAUGAAAGAACUGACAGAUCACUUUUUGCUCCAACCAAGUAUAGCUCUGUGCCAACAGUCUCGAACGUGGAACAAGUAAAAUAAAUGGUACCUGCUGAAGCUGAGAGGGCAGAUGAUAAAUUGGUGGUGAAGGUGGACAGCCAAAAGAAUCAGAGAGCAAAAACUAAAAAGCCCAUGAAACCUGGUACUGAAGCGGUCUCAGCACCUGUUUCUGGGAGGGAUGAGAUUGCAGUGACUGAAGAAAAGGAGCAUAAUUAAACAAAGAAGGAAGAGGAGUUGGCCAGGAAGGUAGAGGAAUUGAGAAGUGAAGAUGCAGCCAUGUUGAGGGAGCAAGGCCUGUUGGAGGAGAAAGCCAACGUUAAGGAGGCACUGGAAAGG